UGCUUACCAUGCAAGUCGAACGAUGAACCGCUUUCGGGCGGGGAUUAGUGGCGAACGGGUGAGUAACACGUGGGCAAUCUGCCCUGCACUCUGGGACAAGCCCUGGAAACGGGGUCUAAUACCGGAUAUGACUGUCCAUCGCAUGGUGGAUGGUGUAAAGCUCCGGCGGUGCAGGAUGAGCCCGCGGCCUAUCAGCUUGUUGGUGAGGUAGUGGCUCACCAAGGCGACGACGGGUAGCCGGCCUGAGAGGGCGACCGGCCACACUGGGACUGAGACACGGCCCAGACUCCUACGGGAGGCAGCAGUGGGGAAUAUUGCACAAUGGGCGAAAGCCUGAUGCAGCGACGCCGCGUGAGGGAUGACGGCCUUCGGGUUGUAAACCUCUUUCAGCAGGGAAGAAGCGAAAGUGACGGUACCUGCAGAAGAAGCGCCGGCUAACUACGUGCCAGCAGCCGCGGUAAUACGUAGGGCGCAAGCGUUGUCCGGAAUUAUUGGGCGUAAAGAGCUCGUAGGCGGCUUGUCACGUCGGUUGUGAAAGCCCGGGGCUUAACCCCGGGUCUGCAGUCGAUACGGGCAGGCUAGAGUUCGGUAGGGGAGAUCGGAAUUCCUGGUGUAGCGGUGAAAUGCGCAGAUAUCAGGAGGAACACCGGUGGCGAAGGCGGAUCUCUGGGCCGAUACUGACGCUGAGGAGCGAAAGCGUGGGGAGCGAACAGGAUUAGAUACCCUGGUAGUCCACGCCGUAAACGGUGGGCACUAGGUGUGGGCAACAUUCCACGUUGUCCGUGCCGCAGCUAACGC
rnacentral:rRNA from 1 species